CGCCUGCACUUCGGGAUAAGCUUGGGAAACUGGGUCUAAUACCGGAUAGGAGCCAUCUUUAGUGUGGUGGUUGGAAAGUUUUUUCGGUGUAGGAUGAGCUCGCGGCCUAUCAGCUUGUUGGUGGGGUAAUGGCCUACCAAGGCGGCGACGGGUAGCCGGCCUGAGAGGGUGUACGGCCACAUUGGGACUGAGGUACGGCCCAG
rnacentral:rRNA from 1 species